rnacentral:tRNA from 1 species
GGGCUAUAGCUCAGCUGGGAGAGCGCUUCCCUUGCACGGAAGAGGUCUGCGGUUCGAUCCCGCAUAGCUCCACCAG